rnacentral:lncRNA from 1 species
AGAUUUGAACAAUAUGGUAAUACUGAUUAGUUUUUUUUAAUCUAAAAUGCUUACUAAAUAUGCUAGGAGGACAAUACAACACAUUUUCUACCACUAUAUAAAGGACACUAUUGUUUAAUUGAUGUAAGGAGAGUUUGAACUUUAAAAGAUAUAAAUUGAUAAAACUAAUCUAAAAUGCUUACUAAAUAUGCUAGGAGGACAAUACAACACAUUUUCUACCACUAUAUAAAGGACACUAUUGUUUAAUUGAUGUAAGGAGAGUUUGAACUUUAAAAGAUAUAAAUUGAUAAAACUAUUUCUUAAAUACAAAGGAAGAAAAAUGGCUGGAAUUAUCAAGUUUAUUCUUACUAUAAUUAUCUUUAUUUCUAUAUUGAUGGUGUCAUCCAACGCUGAAAGUAAUUUAUUUUUUAAGAUUUAAAAAAUUUCCUUGUUACUUUGUACACAAUAUUUUAUCAAAUAUUAGCUAAACUUAUAAGCAAUAUAGGAAUUGUUAAAUGUAUACAAGAUACGGAUUGUUUACAAUAUCAUAGGUGUCAGCCACCAAUGCUAAUGAAGUGUGACAAUAAACAAUGUAAAUGUGUUCCAGUGACCUAUUUCAUUCGUUAUGUUCCCAUAUGAUUCUUCAUAUUAAGUUCUCAUAUGGUUCUGCAUUUAGUGUUAUAUCUAAGAUAUUAUUGUAUUGCUAUAUCAUAAUUUGUUUUUUUAUUUUUCAUUUCAAGAAUUUUGUAGUUAAGUUUAAUUUUAUUUAAAUCGAGUUCUUCUCUUUUAAUUUCAAAAUAUCUUCAUAGAUUUCAUUCCAGGUAUGUAUCAUGGUCAUUUGAAUCCUACCAUCUAUUAGAAUAAUACGUGUAAUAGUUAAGUUGAAUAACUGUUUAUAUUGCUUAUAAGUCUGCACGUUUUUUUACAUGUUCAUGUUAUAGUAUCAAUACACUUCCCACCUUCAAUUUUCAUUUCUUUUAUAUUUUAAUUCUUUUAUUGGUCUCAUAUGUACUAUUCAAUUUUAAAAGAUAUGAAAAUCUAGAUAUUCACUAUAAAAAUGUAAAAAUCUAUUGUUAUAAGUGCAUAUUUAAUAGAAGAGUUGUCUAUGUUUC